rnacentral:lncRNA from 1 species
GCCCUGCAGGCAUUAAUUCAUCAUAAUCAAUUAGGGAUCAAUAUGUUGUCAUGCUUAAUGGUUCCUAGUGAUACCAUUUCAGUCGUUGGAAAUUAAGACCUGUAUCAACUGCAUAUGAAUGAAAAUAAAUUAAAAAAAAAAAUCAUAGAAUACAAAAUAUCAGCUUGAUUUUUUGAUGCUUGACGCUAGAACAAUUCCUCACAGUAUGGCAAUCUGUAAGCAGCUGAAACGGGCUUUCGAUUUGAAUUGGCAAAUCACAAUCCCGAAAUUAGUCAUUUCAAUCAUGUCAAGCUCCUUGUCUGCAAAUUGAAAAGAGAAGUUAAUGCUUUGCUCAUUAAUUGAGAAAAGUGUAUGAAGGGCAAAGGUACAAACAUAGCACACGGCAAACUAGUUUCGGAGUGAAAAUAUCCACGUUGCUGGUCCCUUCUGGGCUGAAGAAGCAAAGGCACCAGCCCAAACGUGAAUAUUUGACUGGCCUGGGAAAAAGCCUUCAGUUGAGACACCUAGCAAGAGGAUCCAGUUCAACAUUUCAUACUUCUCAAUUGCCUCUUUUUCUUUUUCCAAUUGACAAGCCCAAACAAUCUCAACAUGGAGAGAG